CCUACGGGAGGCUGCAGUCGAGAAUUAUUCACAAUGGGGGAAACCCUGAUGGUGCGACGCCGCGUGGGGGAAUGAAGGUCUUCGGAUUGUAAACCCCUGUCAUGUGGGAGCAAAUUAAAAAGAUAGUACCACAAGAGGAUGAGACGGCUAACUCUGAGCCAGCAGCCGCGGUAAUACCGAGGUCUCAAGCGUUGUUCGGAAUCACUGGGCGUAAAGGGUGCGUAGGCUGUUUCGUAAGUCGCUUGUGAAAGGCGCGGGCUCAACCCGCGGACGGCACCUGACACUGCGAGACUUGAGUAAUGGAGGGGGAACCGGAAUUCUAGGUGUAGCAGUGAAAUGCGUAGAUAUCGAGAGGAACACUAGUGGCGAAGGCGGGUUCCUGGACAUUAACUGACGCUGAGGCACGAAGGCCAGGGGAGCGAAAGGGAUUAGAUACCCCAGUAGUC
rnacentral:rRNA from 1 species